UACGUAGGGAGCGAGCGUUAUCCGGAAUUACUGGGUGUAAAGGGCGAGUAGGCGGGCGGACAAGUCAGGUGUGAAAGGCUACGGCUCAACCGUAGUAAGCUCUUGAAACUGUAAGACUUGAGUGCAGGAGAGGAGAGUGGAAUUCCUAGUGUAGCGGUGAAAUGCAUAGAUAUUAGGAGGAACACCAGUUGCGAAGGCGGCUCUCUGGACUGUAACUGACACUGAGGCACGAAAGCGUGGGGAGCAAACAGGAUUAGAUACCCGGGUAGU
rnacentral:rRNA from 1 species